rnacentral:rRNA from 1 species
CACGCAGUAAACGAUGAAUACUAGUUGUUUGCGAUAUACAGUAAGUAACACAGCGAAAGCGUUAAGUAUUCCACCUGGGGAGUACGUUCGCAAGAAUGAAACUCAAAGGAAUUGACGGGGGCCCGCACAAGCGGAGGAACAUGUGGUUUAAUUCGAUGAUACGCGAGGAACCUUACCCGGGCUUGAAAUGCAGAAGACGAAGGAUGAAAGUUCUUUUCCAGCAAUGGCUUCUGUGUAGGUGC